CUCGGCGCUGCUGGUGGUGAAGGCGCCGCCCUCCUCGAGGUUGAGCACCUUGACGACGCCGUCGUCGGCGAGGAGCGCGUAGCGGCGCGACCUGACGCCGAGCCCCAUGGGCUUGUCGGAGAGGUCCAUCUCGACGCCGAGCGCGCGCGUGAGCUCCAGGUUGCCGUCGGAGAGGAGGAGCACGUCGGCGUCGCCGAGGCCCAGGCUCUCCUUCCACGCGCGCAUCACGAACGCGUCGUUCACCGACACGCAGGCAAUGGCGUCCACCCCCUUG
rnacentral:lncRNA from 1 species